rnacentral:rRNA from 1 species
CAGUGGGGAAUCUUAGACAAUGGGGGAAACCCUGAUCUAGCCAUGCCGCGUGAGCGAUGAAGGCCUUAGGGUUGUAAAGCUCUUUCAGCUGGGAAGAUAAUGACGGUACCAGCAGAAGAAGCCCCGGCUAACUCCGUGCCAGCAGCCGCGGUAAUACGGAGGGGGCUAGCGUUGUUCGGAAUUACUGGGCGUAAAGCGCACGUAGGCGGACUAUUAAGUCAGGGGUGAAAUCCCGGGGCUCAACCCCGGAACUGCCUCUGAUACUGGUAGUCUUGAGUUCGAGAGAGGUGAGUGGAAUUCCGAGUGUAGAGGUGAAAUUCGUAGAUAUUCGGAGGAACACCAGUGGCGAAGGCGGCUCACUGGCUCGAU